GUGCUUGCUUCGGCAGUACAUAUGCUAAAAUUGGAACAAUACAGAGAUUAGUAUUGCCCCUGCCCAAGGAUGACAUGCAAAUUCGUGAAGCAUUCCGUAUUUUU
ensembl:snRNA U6 U6 spliceosomal RNA